rnacentral:rRNA from 1 species
UACAGAGGGUGCGAGCGUUGUCCGGAAUCACUGGGCGUAAAGGGCGCGUAGGUGGUGACCUAAGCGUGCGGUGAAAGCCCGAGGCUCAACCUCGGGUCGGCCGUGCGAACUGGGUCACUGGAGCAGAAUAGAGGCAGGUGGAAUUCCGGGUGUAGCGGUGGAAUGCGUAGAGAUCCGGAAGAACACCGGUGGCGAAGGCGGCCUGCUGGGUUCUGGCUGACACUGAGGCGCGACAGCGUGGGGAGCAGACAGG